rnacentral:lncRNA from 1 species
CCUUUUUUUUCUUUUAAAGAUUUUAUUUUAUUUAUUUGACAGAGACAGGCAGCGAGAGAGGGAACACAAGCAGGGGGAGUGGGAGAGGAAGAAGCAGGCUUCCAGUGGAGGAGCCUGAUGUGGGGCUCGAUCCCAGAACUCAGGUAUCAUGCCCUGAGCCGAAGGCAGACGCUUAACGACUGCACCACCCAGGCGCCCCUCCCCAGGAUUUUUCUUGGCCAGUUCUCUUCCGUCUGGACUCGAAGUAUCAUCGCUGUCAUUCCUACAGCUAAUGACUCUGUGCUGGGUUUCCAGGAAAAGCUCUAGGAUGCUGGGAGAAGUUAAAGAGGAAAAUAAGAAACAAGCUAAUCCUGUGUUUCUACUCCCCAAGCCAGAUCAUCAGCCUCACAUUCUAGAAAUGGAAGCACUGAGGACUGGAUGAAGUUGCAGAGGGCAGAAUGGCCCUUCACCCAGUAGAAUUUCAGCCCCAGAAAACUAUCCGUCAUUGACUCUGUGGCUCCACGUCCACUUUCUGAAUCACUCCUAAACUUAUCUUGUGACCAGCUUUACUUCAGGGAAAUUCCGGGAAACAUGGCUCCAACUUGGCUAGGCUGAUACAGUGUGAAGCACCACAGAUAGUAAGUUUGGUUAGCAUCCUGGAAAAAGAAAAUCCUAGAGGAGAGAAAGAGAAAUUCUCAAUCAUAUCUCUCCACUAUAAAAGUAACUUUACCCUUUUGUAAUUAGCAAUCUGUGGGUAAUACUUUGCAAUGGUGGGACUGUCCCGACGCCCAACAUAGUUUACCCAGUGGUCUCAGGGUCUAUUGAUGAUCCCUGUCUGAAUCAAUUUUUGCAAAUUGCCUGAACUGACCCAAAUGUGUUCAGUGGGAGCCCCUUUAGGCCAGCCGCUGAGACCCUUUAACAUGAUUCUAGGUCUUUGUAUACUUCCUUACUUUGAGCAAAACAAGAGAUCCAAGGCUCAACUUGGUCUGGCCUCAGACCUGGGACCAGAUGUUUCUCCAAGGAACUCUGGUCUGUUUUAGUGGGGAAUGAUAUUUAGACACCAAGAUCUGGUUGCUAGGGGUGCUCAUUGCUAUUGGUAUAUUGUUGCACCUGGGCCUUUUCAAUGGAAGUAAUAGAAAAUAUAUUUUAAAAAACUGUGGGGUGCCUGGGUGGCUCAGUCAGUUAAGCAGCUGCCUUUGGCUCAGGUCAUGAUCCCAGGUUCCUGGGAUCAAGUCCUGCACUGGGCUCCUUGCUCAGCAGGGAGCUUGCUUCUCCCUCUGCCUGCUGUUUUCCCUACUUGUGCUCUCUCUCUCUGACAAAUAAAUAAGUAAAAUCUUAAAAAAAAAACA